rnacentral:rRNA from 1 species
GUAGGUGGCAAGCGUUGUCCGGAAUUAUUGGGCGUAAAGCGCGCGCAGGCGGUUCUUUAAGUCUGAUGUGAAAGCCCACGGCUCAACCGUGGAGGGUCAUUGGAAACUGGAGAACUUGAGUACAGAAGAGGAAAGCGGAAUUCCACGUGUAGCGGUGAAAUGCGUAGAGAUGUGGAGGAACACUAGUGGCGAAGGCGGCUUUCUGGUCUGUAACUGACGCUGAGGCGCGAAAGCGUGGGGAGCAAACAGGAUUAGAUACCCUGGUAGUCCACGCCGUAAACGAUGAGUGCUAAGUGUUAGGGGGGUUUCCGCCCCCCUUAGUGCUGCAGCUAACGCAUUAAGCACUCCGCCUGGGAGUACGGCCGCAAGGCUG